GGUGGGUGGUGGGGCGUCCCUCAGCCCGGAUUGCAAGAGGAUGCAGGCCAGGCCAAGGGACCCCACCGGUGCAUG
rnacentral:pre_miRNA from 1 species